rnacentral:rRNA from 1 species
GCGGAGGGAUCAUUACCGAGUUUACAACUCCCAACCCAUGUGAACAUACCUACUGUUGCUUCGGCGGGAUUGCCCCGGGCGCCUCGUGUGCCCCGGAUCAGGCGCCCGCCUAGGAAACUUAAUUCUUGUUUUAUUUUGGAAUCUUCUGAGUAGUUUUUACAAAUAAAUAAAAACUUUCAACAACGGAUCUCUUGGUUCUGGCAUCGAUGAAGAACGCAGCGAAAUGCGAUAAGUAAUGUGAAUUGCAGAAUUCAGUGAAUCAUCGAAUCUUUGAACGCACAUUGCGCCCGCCAGUAUUCUGGCGGGCAUGCCUGUCUGAGCGUCAUUUCAACCCUCAUGCCCCUAGGGCGUGGUGUUGGGGAUCGGCCAAAGCCCGCGAGGGACGGCCGGCCCCUAAAUCUAGUGGCGGACCCGUCGUGGCCUCCUCUGCGAAGUAGUGAUAUUCCGCAUCGGAGAGCGACGAGCCCCUGCCGUUAAACCCCCAACUUUCCAAGGUUGACCUCAGAUCAGGUAGGAAUACCCGCUGAACUUAAGCAUA